rnacentral:rRNA from 1 species
GUGAGACAGGUGCUGCAUGGCUGUCGUCAGCUCGUGUUGUGAAAUGUUGGGUUAAAUCCCGCAACGAGCGCAACCCUUAUCCUUUGUUGCCAGCGAUUAGGUCGGGAACUCAAAGGAGACUGCCAGUGAUAAACUGGAGGAAGGUGGGGAUGACGUCAAGUCAUCAUGGCCCUUACGACCAGGGCUACACACGUGCUACAAUGGCGCAUACAAAAAGAAGCGACCUCGC